CAGUAGCCGCGGGAAUACGUAGGGGGCUAGCGUUAUCCGGAUUUACUGGGCGUAAAGGGUGCGUAGGUGGUCCUUCAAGUCGGUGGUUAAAGGCUACGGCUCAACCGUAGUAAGCCGCCGAAACUGGAGGACUUGAGUGCAGGAGAGGAAAGUGGAAUUCCCAGUGUAGCGGUGAAAUGCGUAGAUAUUGGGAGGAACACCAGUAGCGAAGGCGGCUUUCUGGACUGCAACUGACACUGAGGCACGAAAGCGUGGGUAGCAAACAGGAUUAGAUACCCCAGUAGUCCCUGUCUCUUAUACA
rnacentral:rRNA from 1 species